GACGCAAACGAUGACGCAAUGACGCAAUAACUUACCUUUGAACCUAAUUCACCUUUGAACCUGCAACAAUGAGUUGACCAAAGAAAAGAAAAGUCAACAAUGAGUGCUGAAUGUUUAAUGAGGAGUGGACAGCUAAAUAUUGUUUCACCGAUCUGCUACUGGUCCGGCCGUCUGUCAAAUUUUAAAACUCAAAUAGUGGCCCCGAGCCAAAAAGUUUGCCCACCCUAAGCUAGAAGAACCACCUGCUUUUUUAAAUCAGCUGUGUGGGAACAUUUCGGGUUCCCUGUGGACUACAAGAACGAUGGAGUGCAAGUGGUGGAUCGGAUGAGGACGGUGUGUUGGUGUUGUUCGACAGCGGUGCGGUAUGCUAAUGAUGAUCUCAAGGGAGCACCCAGAAGAGGCUGAGUAAUAGAAACGUGAACUCAAGAGAUUCAACAGGAUCAUACUGAAUCCUGGUUUGGACUGAGGACCAGCAUCCCCUGCAGCAGAUGUUUGCUCCUGGCAUGUGUGCAAACAGCAUGACCUCCAUCACUGACAAUCUCGCUCUCAGGAUCCAACGCCAGCAACUUAGACUCGGAGAUGCUGUGAAACAAACUCUGCAUGACAGUGCAGUGCGUUCUGCUGCUCAGACAUUAAGGAACAGAUCAGUCAACACAGUCUGGAGACGCUCUCAUUCGGAAAGUUAACUUGAUGAAAGAUGUUUAUCACAGUUACCACAAUGGAUCCACACAUUGUUUGACUUUUUCUAAAUUGAAACUGGAUUAAUAUUUUCCCGUAUACUGUAUAUACAUCUGCUUUUGAUAUUCCGUGUUUAUUUACGCUGUUGCCCAUACACUGCAGUUGUGACAUAUACUGUGUUAUUCUGGAUACAGUAUCAACAAGCGCUGGAACUGUAAAUGGAAAAUAAUCAAAUGGUAUUUUCAUUUUUAGGUCUGAUAUUACAGCACUUGCCCAGUGCAGCAACAUACAAAACAUGUGCACAGUACUGUGUAAAAUACAUUUGAACAGAUAGGAUCAAGAUUUCCCAGACGAUUACUCAUUUAUUGGAACUUUAUCUUCUAAUUGCGAUCACAAAGAAACCAUUGUGAUUAAGGUGCUUAUAAAUGCAAAUCAAAACCAUCUACAUUUCACAUAGACACUUUGGCAGCCUUUGUUGUUUUCGAUUAAUAAUCCUGUCAAGGAAUGUAUUCUGAUGAUGAUUUAUAGCUCCAUAACUUUAGCUGUCUGUGAAACCUAACAGAAAUAAAGAACUUGUAUUCAA